rnacentral:rRNA from 1 species
GACGAACGCUGGCGGCGUGCUUAACACAUGCAAGUCGAGCGGUAAGGCCCUUUCGGGGUACGACGAGCGGCGAACGGGUGAGUAACACGUGGGUGACCUGCCUUUAGCUCUGGGAUAAGCCUGGGAAACUGGGUCUAAUACCGGAUAUGACUCCAUGACGCAUGUUGUGGGGUGGAAAGCCUUGUGCGGCUAGGGAUGGGCCCGCGGCCUA